UGAACGCUGGCGGCAGGCUUAACACAUGCAAGUCGAGCGGUAACAUUUCUAGCUUGCUAGAAGAUGACGAGCGGCGGACGGGUGAGUAAUGCUUGGGAAUAUGCCUUUAGGUGGGGGACAACAGUUGGAAACGACUGCUAAUACCGCAUAAUGUCUACGGACCAAAGGAGGGGAUUCUUCGGAACCUUUCGCCUUUAGAUUAGCCCAAGUGAGAUUAGCUAGUAGGUAAGGUAAUGGCUUACCUAGGCGACGAUCUCUAGCUGGUUUGAGAGGAUGAUCAGCCACACUGGGACUGAGACACGGCCCAGAAUCCUACGGGAGGCAGCAGUGGGGAAUAUUGCACAAUGGGGGAAACCCUGAUGCAGCCAUGCCGCGUGUGUGAAGAAGGCCUUCGGGUUGUAAAGCACUUUCAGUCGUGAGGAAAGGUAAGUAGUUAAUAACUGCUUGCUGUGACGUUAGCGACAGAAGAAGCACCGGCUAACUCC
rnacentral:rRNA from 1 species